GGAGAGGUGGAAUCAGGGAGUGGAGAGGCGGACGAUGAUACUCAGCUUGCUUUCUCUUUUAGCAUUUGGUCGAGGGUCUCAGUCUACAGGAUGGUGCUUCCCUGAGGUGCCACACAUCUGAGCUUUCAAUUGUUCAUCAGACCUCAAGUUAACAGUUAGCUGCUGCUAGCACAGCAGGGGACAUACACACAAGAAUGGAUCCCAUUCGCAACCAUCAACUGGCUAUAGAUCCUCAGGCAGGGGAGGAUCCCCAUGUCCAUCCUCCCCCACCGCUUCAGGAUGGGAUGUCGAUUCGUCCAGUCUUCUGCAAAUGUUGUGCAGGCAUUCAUUCGUACUGUGAGUUCAGGAGCGCAACAGCCGGGUUGUACUGAGAGGUCAGGGGCCCCAACAUUCCACCCCUCCUCCAGCUCUUAAAAUCUUUUCUCCCUCUUUUCUAUCAUGUCCCCUGAAUCUCGGAGGUGUGCAUUUAAACUAUGGGUCACGUUGCAACACUCUGGAGUGACUGUACACCAGCACGGUGUGGGAUUUAAUUGCCCUCAAGGAACCUGGAAGCAUUUAACUAUCACCCACACUCAUAAUUUUUACCAAGAGUAAGGGUACAGGGCUAGAGAGAGAUGGCUCAGCAGUGAAGAGCACUGGCUGCUCUUCCAGAGGUCCUGAGUUCAAAUCCCAGCAACCACAAGGUGGCUCAGAACCAUCUGUAAUGGAAUCUGAUAUCCCCUUCUAAUGUGUCUGAAGACAGCGACAGUAUACUUAAAUGCAUUAAAUAAAUAAAUAAAUAAAUAAAUAAAUAAAUAAAUAAAUAAAUAGA